GCUGGGCAUGGUGGCACAUGCCUGUAAUACUAGUGGCUUGGGAGGCUGAGGCAGGAGGAUCAUGAGUUCAAAGCCAUCCUCAAAUUAGCAAGGUUCUAAGCAACUCAGUGAGACCUUGUCUCUA
rnacentral:sRNA from 1 species